AUAAAGUAUUAUGCUCGGUACUAGAUGCACGAGAUCAUAGGACAAACACACACGUGAAUAAAAAAACCGCUUAGAACUGGUGACGUCACAAAGAUCUCUGCAUCCCUCGAUGCGUACUGGAAGAUGUAAGAAAUCGCUCACGGCGAAGGAAAUUUUCAUCCGCAAACUUCGGUAAUAAACAUACAUGACUAGGCUUCUUUUAUUCAUCGUUUGUUAUAAAAUAUCAGUCAAUCAUAGACAAUUAGGCCUAGACAUAGUCGUCAACCUUAUCCAUGCAUAAUGCAUGACAGGCCCCCAAUUUUCUCUGUAUCACCCUGUAUGAACAGACCGAUCCGUAGUUCAAAUAGGCCCCGCGUGGUGGUGGCGUAUUUAUAAGCGGAGCGCUAUUGGUUCAUAUUAUGGGUGUGUGGUGGGCGUGUCUUCCCAUAUUUGGGAGAUCAGUACUGUACACUGGAGGCGAGGUACAACUGGGUUGUUCUAAAAUACAGACUAUUGAAUCGGAUAUGCGACAGAUUUCUAAAUUACCAUAAAAUUCCGAUCUGAUCAUAUGACGCGUACCUUGUCCGCAAUUGCAACGAAAGAUUCUCGCUGAUAUGGUUUUCAAGGUGAAGGGUUACAUGUAGAUGCCACAAACCUUGACCGCAAUUGCAACCGAAGAUUUUUGGAUGAACCGCAAGACGAUCAGAUGAAGGCUUUCAGUUGUCCAGGCCAGGCCAGGUGACCAAUGACGAUGAUAGAUCGGGUUCGAUUCAAGCUGUACGCUUGGUGUAUUCGGUUAUCGUGUCUGGCGACUGAGUCUAACUCACGUCCAAAGCACGGUGGCUGGGUCCCAGGCAUGCUUGCCACUUUGUUCUGCGGUCCUCAUCUAAGUUUCGACGGAGAUGACAUGGACUUAGGUUCAAAGUACGUGUUCCCCUUGAGUCAUUGUGGUUGAUUGAUUGGGGAAAUUAACGAUUGCGUGUCGCUAGUCAUUCACAAUAUCCCCUGUUGAAGAGUGUUGGCGGGAUAAGUCUUACGACUGUUAACAAUAGUAAGCAAUAGCUGGCCAGCGAUCCCCUACCUGAUCUCGAGGGGGAUGGAAUGACUGGGGUUAGAGGCCUGUUGUUAACCUGCGGAAUUUCGUCGGACGAAAUGUCAGGCGUGUCCGUGUGGGACUUGUGCUAAACCAGUUUAGUACUAAUGACGAAGACCUUGGGUCCUUUGAAUAACAACAGUGUUCUCAACCUCCUUGUGCCUCUCAAAGCUAACGUAUAUACCCGCUGAAAUCGACAAGACGGCGAUGAAGAAGGAGAGCCGGCCUCCAGCUGGAGAGCCGAGAAGACACUGGAUGGACCUGAAGAAUAUGUUGCUGCCAAUGUUGGAGCCAUACAGGGCAGCCCGAGCCAACAUUGUACAAGGGCCACAAGGUCCAGGACCUCAAGGACAAGGGACACAAGGACAAGGGACACAAGGACAAGGGACACAAGGACAAGGGACACAAGGACAAGGGACACAAGGACAAGGGACACAAGGACAAGGGACACAAGGACAAGGGACACAAGGACAAGGGACACAAAAGACGAUGUUGCAAUCUGCGGGCCCUCUGCAGAUUGAGAUGAUUGCUGUCGAGAAGACCCAACCACUCAACCAAGAUCUACAAUUCGUGCUAUGUUAGAUGUGACUCUCAAAAGAUUUUGGAUGACGAAGGAAUCCAAUACAUAUAUGUCGCUCACAGAUACGGGCAGACGACCGAGAGUCGAGUGGAUUCAGUGGAUCGAAUGGUUGUGCAGAGGGAUAGCCAUGUGCAGGAGUGACGAACCACAGCUCAGCAAACGAUGCCUUGACAGAACAAUUCAAGGAGAACAUUCGCUGAGAUCAGAAAGGGAACUUGUUUGCUGUGGGGAUGGAUUGGACACCAAAAUGUCUGUCAUUCUAAUAAACUAUAAUGACAAUCCAACUCCAAAGAGACUCUCUGGACUUAGGGAAAGCUACGGACAUAGAGCCCAGACAUGAUAUCCUGCAGCCACCAUGAGGACAGCCUAUCUCAUACCUUCGGAAGGGUGCCAUCACACGCAUGGAGAAGCAUCCGACAGGAGGAAGAUGGAUGUUGCUGACCAGCACAUCCCAACGAUGUAUUUUUGUCACCGUAGACCUAUUGUUUUUAUUGAAAUAUCUGAUUGAAAGGUGAUUUUAUUGAUAAAAAUCCUAAAAUUUUAUGAUGGGAGAAGGCAUAUAUUUACCUUCUUAGGGCAAUGACAAUAUGUUGUCAUGGUUUAAAAUAAUGCACGUAUAAAGAAGGAAUAACAUUUUAGAGGAGGGUUUCUUUUGUUACCAGGGGCACCAUGAUCCAAGAGAUCAACAAUUUUCUGGCAAAAUCUUUUGAAAGAAAGCGAAAUGUGGAGUGGGCGUUUAUGGAGAGCCAAUAGGGCAUGUCAGUACCCAAACAAAUAAGUCUUAAGCAAAAUUGAUUUUUAGCUUAUGAAGGCAGAAGCUAAUAGCCUAGGGCACAUCAGGACCCUACUGCUUGAAAUGGUUUUCUCCUGAAAUAAUCACCAACUUCAUCAGAUAUUUCAUUAUUAUAUCUCCAUCACUUGAGACAUGGGGUUCAUAUGAUUUCUUUCUUGCUUAAACCCCAAGCAAAAAAGGAACAUAUGUGUCUGCGAUGGAACGUAGGCCUUUUUUACUGUUUCUCGAUCUCCCCAGCACCAUAGAAUCCACGGGCAUUGGUCUGAGCAGUUAAGCUGAGACCUUCUAACAUUGGCUGGCUCAGUUGCUUGGUAUCAUAUAAUACCAGAGACAACUGACCAACUACACAAAGAAGUUAAAGAAGUUGCGUUCCCUCAAUCACUUCUACCAAAUACCUGGGAACCAGGUAUUGAUGAAAAGACACAUUCAAUUUAUAUAGUUGAAAACACUCCCAUUAUUUUAUUGAUAUUUGUGAGAAUAUCAAAAGAUUUCCUGAUGACAGAAUCGACUGCUUCGAGAUCUUGCCAGGGCAUAUUUAUCAUGCUCUGCAGAUUAUGAAGACGGUCUUUUGCCCCACUGAGAAUUGGAUUAGACAUGGUACUGAAUGGUUUGAGAAAAGUGUAAUUAAAACGUCAACUUUGUAAGACGUUUCAUUUUGUCCUGCAUGUAAUAAAUGUAGACCUUGUUAGUAAAAUAAAGAGAUCUUAGACUCCAACUUGCCAAAAAACUGGCAUACCCACUUCUGUCUAGUCUUGCCAUGUCGAAAGCUACGUCUUUUGUCAUGCAAAUAACAUGUCACCUCUCAACCUUUUGUGAUGCAAAGCGGCAGCCUCAAGGUGGAGUGGCCAUGAGAAAUGUGGUCCUUUUGUUAUUUAAAUUGGGCCCUUAAGCUGUUUAGUCAUGGUGUGAUGACAGCCUUGACUGUUGGUUGAAAUGGCUCAACUGCAGUCAUACACAAUAGGUUUAAUGCAUGCAUGAAUAGUGAAUGAACAUAUUAUUAGCAUGCAGAGUUGAAGUUGUGGAGUCUGACUAGUGUAAGAUCUCUAUUUAGCAAUGUCUUUCUUGAACAUUACAUCUUGUAAAGGAGUAGACCAUGUGUGAUAGUAUUACUAUCUUCUGGUUUUCUCCUGUUAUGGGCUUUCGGAGUGGCACAGUACUUAAAUGUACACGUCUGAUGUCAUUUAAAAAACUCAGUCCUUGAAGCCUGUCACCUGUGUGAUGGAGUCGGCAGCUCCCUCCGAUCGCGUAGGUUUUCUCCCGGGGACGGGUUUCCUCCUGCACGACAUUCCAAAUUGCCAUUACGAUAAUUCUUGGGAUGUACAACAAUAAAAAAGAUUUUCAAAAGAUAA